rnacentral:rRNA from 1 species
GACGAACGCUGGCGGCGUGCCUAAUACAUGCAAGUUGAGCGCUGAAGGUUGGUACUUGUACCAACUGGAUGAGCAGCGAACGGGUGAGUAACGCGUGGGGAAUCUGCCUUUGAGCGGGGGACAACAUUUGGAAACGAAUGCUAAUACCGCAUAAAAACUUUAAACACAAGUUUUAAGAUUGAAAGAUGCAAUUGCAUCACUCAAAGUUGAUCCCGCGUUGUAUUAGCUAGUUGGUGAGGUAAAGGCUCACCAAGGCGAUGAUACAUAGCCGACCUGAGAGGGUGAUCGGCCACAUUGGGACUGAGACACGGCCCAAACUCCUACGGGAGGCAGCAGUAGGGAAUCUUCGGCAAUGGACGAAAGUCUGACCGAGCAACGCCGCGUGAGUGAAGAAGGUUGUCGGAUCGUAAAACUCUGUUGGUAGAGAAGAACGUUGGUGAGAGUGGAAAGCUCAUCAAGUGACGGUAACUACCCAGAAAGGGACGGCUAACUACGUG